rnacentral:misc_RNA from 1 species
GUGGCGUUACGUUUGUGCACAACAGAUAUUGGGCGGUGAGGCAUGGCAAAAGCAUUCCCAAUGAAAUGGGUCUCGUCGUUUCCUCCAUGGAAAAUGGAAAACUUGAACAAUAUAAGUUGACUCCCGAAGGAAUCAAACAAGCAAAAUUGGCUGGAGAGUCAUUCCUAAAGGUACUCAAAGAAGAUAACAUACCACUUGAAAAUGUUCGAAUUUGCUACUCUCCCUUCUCGAGAACCACUCAUACAGCACAAGUGGUUGCAUCAGUUCUAGAUAUUUCUUUUGAAGGACCACAGUGCAUGGU